UACGUAGGGGGCAAGCGUUGUCCGGAAUCAUUGGGCGUAAAGAGCGCGUAGGCGGUCCGGUAAGUCCGCUCUGAAAGCCCGGGGCUCAACCCCGGGAGGCGGGCGGAUACUGUCGGGCUAGAGUCCGGAAGAGGCGAGUGGAAUUCCUGGUGUAGCGGUGAAAUGCGCAGAUAUCAGGAGGAACACCGAUGGCGAAGGCAGCUCGCUGGGACGGUACUGACGCUGAGGCGCGAAAGCUAGGGGAGCAAACGGG
rnacentral:rRNA from 1 species